rnacentral:rRNA from 1 species
CCAAUAGCGUAUAUUAAAGUUGCUGCAGUUAAAAAGCUCGUAGUUGAAUUUCGGGACUAAUAUAUCGGUCGUGCCUAGGUACGUACUGGUAUUUUUGGUUUCUCCCUUCUGACGAACCUUGAUGUCAUUAAUUUGGUGUCUUGGGGAAUCAGGACUGUUACUUUGAAAAAAUUAGAGUGUUUAAAGCAGGCUCACGCUUGAAUACAUUAGCAUGGAAUAAUGAAAUAGGACGUUUGAUUCUAUUUUGUUGGUUUCUAGGAUCGACGUAAUGAUUAAUAGGGAUAGUUGGGGGCAUUAGUAUUCAAUUGUCAGAGGUGAAAUUCUUGGAUUUAUUGAAGACUAACUACUGCGAAAGCAUUUGCCAAGGAUGUUUUCAUUAAUCAAGAACGAAAGUUAGGGGAUCGAAGACGAUCAGAUACCGUCGUAGUCUUAACCAUAAACUAUGCCGACUAGGGAUCGGAUGAUGUUAAUUUUUUAAUGACUCAUUCGGCGCCUUACG